rnacentral:rRNA from 1 species
AGCGGCGGACGGGUGAGUAAUACUAGGAAUCUACCUGUAGUGGGGGAUAGCACGGGGAAACCGUAUAAUACCGCAUACGCCUACGGGGAAAGGGGGCAGUUUACUGCUCUCGCUAUUAGAUGAGCCUAGUCGGAUUAGCUAGAUGGUGGGGUAAAGGCUACCAUGGCGACGAUCUGUAGCUGGUCUGAGAGGAUGAUCAGCCACACCGGGACUGAGACACGGCCCGGACUCCUACGGGAGGCAGCAGUGGGGAAUAUUGGACAAUGGGGGAAACCCUGAUCCAGCCAUGCCGCGUGUGUGAAGAAGGCCUUUUGGUUGUAAAGCACUUUAAGCGUGAAGAAGACUCUGGUUAAUACCCGACGUGACAUUAGCGCAGAAUAAGCACCGGCUAACUCUGUGCCAGCAGCCGCGGUAAUACAGAGGGUGCAAGCGUUAAUCGGAAUUACUGGGCGUAAAGGGGCGUAGGUGGCUNUAAGUCAGAUGUGAAAUCCCCGGGCUCAACCUGGGAACUGCAUUGAUACUGAGCUAGAGUUGUGAGAGGGAGGUAGAAUUUCAGUGUAGCGGUGAAAUGCGUAGAGAUUGAAGGAAUACCGAUGGCGAAGGCAGCCCCUGGCAACUGACACUGAGGCCGAAAGCGUGGGUAGCAAACAGGAUUAGAUACCCUGGUAGUCCACGCCGUAAACGAUGUCUACUAGGUUGGGCCUUGAGCUUAGUGCGCAGCUAACGCAUAAGUAGACCGCCUGGGGAGUACGGCCGCAAGGUUAAAACUCAAAUGAAUUGACGGGGGCCCGCACAAGCGGUGGAGCAUGUGGUUUAAUUCGAUGCAACGCGAAGAACCUUACCUGGUCUUGACAUAUCUGAACUCAGAGAUGCGGUGCCUUCGGGAAUAAAUACAGGUGCUGCAUGGCUGUCGUCAGCUCGUGUCGUGAGAUGUUGGGUUAAGUCCCGCAACGAGCGCAACCCUUGUCCUUAGUUACCAGCGGGUUAAGCCGGGACUCUAAGGAUACUGCCAGUGACAAACUGGAGGAAGGCGGGGACGACGUCAAGUCAUCAUGGCCCUUACGACCAGGGCUACACACGUGCUACAAUGGUGUACAGAGGGAGCACCAGCGAUGUGAUGCAAUCUCAAAAGCUCGUAGUCCAGAUUGGAGUCUGCAACUCGACUCCAUGAAGUAGGAAUCGCUAGUAAUCGCGAUC